CAUCCCUGGGCUCAGUGACUCUUGCUUUGUCUACCUUAUUUGAACCUUUUGAGGUUCAAAUAAGAUUGUGAAGAUUUUUUUUUUUUUUAAGAGAAGAAAUAGAAAAAUCCUAACAAUAAAUGUUUAACUGGCCUCUCAUACAGACAUUUCGGAAUGAGUUUACACAUUCCUGGGUCAAAAAAAUGUCUGGCCAAAAGAGAUUAAACAAAGAAAUGUCAAGUACAGACACUGCAUCAGGGGCCAGUGAAUACUUUGGUGGAGAGCCAGGCUUAUCUUGUUGGAGGCCUCCUAAACUCAGGCAUGGAGUCGGACAGCCCUCGCUUCACACAGCUAAGUAGCAUGCUGGCCCACAGCUGACACUGUGGGGCCCGCUGCAGAGAAGCUCAUGAACAGCCUUGAGUGAGCGCCAAUGUUUUCAUUUGGUGGUGCCUCCUCUCCUGUUCCCACACCAGCCUCUGGUACAUGGCGGCCCUUCGGGAGGAUUUGUUGGAAAAGACUGGUACCAGUUUCAGGAGCAGCAGCGUCCACGAGGGCGCUUUCCCUGCUUCCCCCAUGAAAUCGCCCUCAUCCAGGGCAGACCAACAUUUCUGUUUUAGUAGACUCCUAGUGGAACUGAUCCAGGUGUUUGGACGGAGCUGGUCUUGCUCCCCACUCCUCUCUCUCCAGAUCUCUGAAACCAUAGGUCUCACCAGACUGAGCUGUGUCCAGGAGGUGACCACGUUCCCCCCAUCCCAUCCCAUGCCUGUCUGAAACACCACCAAGAAGAUGGCAUGGGGGAGUGGGGGGGGGGAAGGCUACCCUGGACCAGAAAGCCCAGGCCCAGAGACUGGGAGGGGAUGUGCCUGAGGGGGUGGGGAGGAGAGGGCAAAAUUCCAGAGACAAGAAUCCUCUAUGGAGACAGCACGCUGGG